CAGGUGGCAGCAGCAGCAGUCUCCACCAGGUGGUGAGUGAGGUGAUCACUGUGCAGAGAGCUCACUCGGAGGAUAUCAGGAAACAUCAACAUAUACUUGCCGAAUUACAGCAAGAGAGAAAGUGCAUGGAUUGACCCUGGAGUUAAACAGUUUGAAAAGAAAGCAGUGUGUUGCUGCAGAUGACUUUGUCCAGAAGGCUGGCAAUUGUAGGCAACUUGAAGGAGAAAUAGAAGAUGCUAUUGCAGAAAAGCAGGACCUGACAGCAUCUAUUAUUGAUGCUCAAACGAAACUGGGUAAAGAAACGAGUUUGUUGAAAGAAUACACGGGAAAGAUGAAAGAAUUUGAGUCUAAAGUUGACGUGUUGGAAUCAAAAUAUGGAUACAGAAAGGAAUUGGAGGAAUUAAAGAAAAAUGUACAAGAGUUAGAAAAUCAAAAGCUUACCUUGGAGAAAAAUCCAGACAAGGCCAGACACUUACUAGAAGGUAAAUGUGAGAGUGAUCUCAAACAGGAGCUUCAGAAGUUAGAUGAUGAAAAGAGACAAUUAAGGGGGCAGCUGCUU